CCUACGGGUGGCUGCAGUGGGGAAUAUUGGACAAUGGGGGCAACCCUGAUCCAGCCAUUCCGCGUGUGUGAAGAAGGCCCUCGGGUUGUAAAGCACUUUCAGUGAGGAAGAACGCCUGGUGGUUAAUACCCAUCAGGAAAGACAUCACUCACAGAAGAAGCACCGGCUAACUCCGUGCCAGCAGCCGCGGUAAUACGGAGGGUGCGAGCGUUAAUCGGAAUUACUGGGCGUAAAGCGCGCGUAGGUGGCUUGAUAAGCCGGUUGUGAAAGCCCCGGGCUCAACCUGGGAACGGCAUCCGGAACUGUCAAGCUAGAGUGCAGGAGAGGAAGGUAGAAUUCCCGGUGUAGCGGUGAAAUGCGUAGAGAUCGGGAGGAAUACCAGUGGCGAAGGCGGCCUUCUGGACUGACACUGACACUGAGGUGCGAAAGCGUGGGUAGCAAACAGGAUUAGAUACCCCGGUAGUC
rnacentral:rRNA from 1 species